CUUUGAGGGAUUUUAUUAUUUAAAAAAAUAGAUUUAAUCAGUAAAAAUCUGAAUGAACAGGAAAUGUAAAGAGUGGCAGGUCAGGCAGCAUCUGUGGGGAGAGAUUCAGAUGGAAUGACUGGGACCUGGUAAAAUAAAUCUGUAUCUGUAAGACACCCCUGCCAAGGAGAAGGAUUUUAUACAAUAUACACCUCUCAUAAUUUUGUAAACUUCUCAAAUGAA